AUGGUGAGGAAGAGGAAGGAGCUGCUGUCGUCGGCGCCAUGGCGGACGGGGGAGGCGGAGGAGGACGACGAGGCGUCCAGGAUGAGCCGCGAGGGGAAGGUCACCGUCACCAGCAACCCCGGGGAGACGCCCACCAUGAACAUGCCACGCAGCAAGCGCCCGGACCUCGACCUCGCCGUCGACGACUUCGAGGAGGACGAGAUCGACCCCGAGCUGCGCUACUCCUUCCAGCGCAACAGCAGGUUUCUGCGGAGAGUUUUCACGGUGGAUACACUUGUCAAGCCUCUUCCUCCUGUGAUGGCAUACAGUGUCUCCCGUAAUGUGAACUUUUUCUUCAAGAUCUUCACACAGUUCUGGGAUGAAGAAGGAAUUGCCAAUGCACAGAGAUCCCUUGGACUGGGAAGUGAGGAUAGCUCCCGGCGGUUUCGCUGA
rnacentral:rRNA from 1 species